GAUGAACGCUGGCGGCGUGCCUAAUACAUGCAAGUCGAGCGAACAGACGAGGAGCUUGCUCCUCUGACGUUAGCGGCGGACGGGUGAGUAACAUGUGGAUAACCUACCUAUAAGACUGGGAUAACUUCGGGAAACCGGAGCUAAUACCGGAUAAUAUAUUGAACCGCAUGGUUGAAUAGUGAAAGACGGCUUUGCUGUCACUUAUAGAUGGAUCCGCGCCGCAUUAGCUAGUUGGUAAGGUAACGGCCUACCAAGGCGACGAUGCGUAGCCGACCUGAGCGGGUGAUCGGCCACACUGGAACUGAGACACGGUCCAGACUCCUACGGGAGGCAGCAGUAGGGAAUCUUGCGCAAUGGGCGAAAGCUUGACGGAGCAACGCCGCGUGAGUGAUGAAGGUCUUCGGAUCGUAAAACUCUGUUAUUAGGGAAGAACAAAUGUGUAAGUAACUAUGCACGUCUUGACGGUACCUGAUCAGAAAGCCACGGCUAACUACGUG
rnacentral:rRNA from 1 species